AUUGAACGCUGGCGGCAGGCUUAACACAUGCAAGUCGAGCGGGGAAAGGUAGCUUGCUACCUGACCUAGCGGCGGACGGGUGAGUAAUGCUUAGGAAUCUGCCUAUUAGUGGGGGACAACAUUCCGAAAGGAAUGCUAAUACCGCAUACGCCCUACGGGGGAAAGCAGGGGAUCUUCGGACCUUGCGCUAAUAGAUGAGCCUAAGUCAGAUUAGCUAGUUGGUGGGGUAAAGGCCUACCAAGGCGACGAUCUGUAGCGGGUCUGAGAGGAUGAUCCGCCACACUGGGACAGAGACACGGCCCAGACGCCUACGGGAGGCAGCAGUGGGGAACAUUGGACAAUGGGCGAAAGCCUGAUCCAGCCAUGCCGCGUGUGUGAAGAAGGCCUUUUGGUUGUAAAGCACUUUAAGCGAGGAGGAGGCUACUUGGAUUAAUACUCUAGGAUAGUGGACGUUACUCGCAGAAUAAGCACCGGCUAACUCUGUGCCAGCCGCCGCCGUAA
rnacentral:rRNA from 1 species